rnacentral:rRNA from 1 species
AACGAACGCUGGCGGCAGGCUUAACACAUGCAAGUCGAGCGCCCCGCAAGGGAGCGGCAGACGGGUGAGUAACGCGUGGGAACAUACCCUUUGGUUCGGAAUAACUCAGGGAAACUUGAGCUAAUACCGGAUACGUCCGUAAGGAGAAAGAUUUAUCGCCAAAGGAUUGGCCCGCGUCCGAUUAGCUAGUUGGUGAGGUAACGGCUCACCAAGGCUACGAUCGGUAGCUGGUCUGAGAGGAUGAUCAGCCACAUUGGGACUGAGACACGGCCCAAACUCCUACGGGAGGCAGCAGUGGGGAAUAUUGGACAAUGGGCGCAAGCCUGAUCCAGCCAUGCCGCGUGAGUGAUGAAGGCCUUAGGGUUGUAAAGCUCUUUUGUCCGGGAAGAUAAUGACUGUACCGGAAGAAUAAGCCCCGGCUAACUUCGUGCCAGCAGCCGCGUUAAU